rnacentral:rRNA from 1 species
UACGGAGGAUCCGAGCGUUAUCCGGAUUUAUUGGGUUUAAAGGGUGCGUAGGCGGCCCUGUAAGUCAGUUGUGAAAUACGGCAGCUUAACUGUCGAGGUGCAAUUGAUACUGCAGGGCUUGAGUACUGAUGAGGUAGGCGGAAUGGACGGUGUAGCGGUGAAAUGCUUAGAGAUCGUCCAGAACACCGAUAGCGAAGGCAGCUUACUAAGGAGUAACUGACGCUGAGGCACGAAAGUGUGGGGAUCAAACAGG